UAGACAUGUUUGAAAUAGGGGCAUUGCUAUAAUGAAUGGCUAGCAAGUAGGACAACCUAUAAGAAAGCUGCUCAGUCACUUUUUGUGACAGAAAUGCCGUGUCAUUAUCCUUCAAUGUGAACUCCACAGGAAGGCUGAAAAUGAACUAAAGAGCCUGGAAAAUGUGGCUUGGUCAAGAUCUACCUAUCAGCAAGCACUCGAGCAAUGUCUGAGUGGCCUGGUAAUGGAGCCCCUCACAGAGCCUGUCACCAGCCAAUCACAGGCAUCACUCGGAGGCAUUUUCCCUUGGACGUAGCCAGCAUCCUGUUUCUUCAAGUUCAAAAACUAAAGCUUCCAUAUACCCCACCCUCUCAACGGAGAAGCUGAAUGUAAACUGUCCGUGCUAGGAAAUGUGGUAACAAGCAGCUUCAGAGAGAACGAGGAAUGAAGAAGAGCUGAAAAGAACAUGUGUAAGAGAUCAGGAGAGGGUGGGGGAUGUGAUCUUGAAGCCCAGAGCAUGGUCUGCAGAGUGUUCCAGGGACAGUAAAUAGCCAAGUGUGCAGGGCCAGCGCACAGUGCAAAGAGGCACCUGCGAGUUCCAGAGCUGCCAGAUAAAGCCCUGCACACAAGCAGUGGGGAAAGGAUUCCCUAUUUAAUAAAUGGUGCUGGGAAAACUGGCUAGCCAUGUGUAGAAAGCUGAAACUGGAUCCCUUCCUUACACCUUAUACAAAAAUCAAUUCAAGAUGGAA
rnacentral:lncRNA from 1 species